GAUGAACGCUGGCGGCGUGCUUAACACAUGCAAGUCGAACGGAAAGGCCCAAGCUUGCUUGGGUACUCGAGUGGCGAACGGGUGAGUAACACGUGGGUGAUCUGCCCUGCACUUCGGGAUAAGCCUGGGAAACUGGGUCUAAUACCGGAUAGGACCACUUCUUGGAUGUUGUGGUGGAAAGUUUUUUCGGUGUGGGAUGAGCUCGCGGCCUAUCAGCUUGUUGGUGGGGUAAUGGCCUACCAAGGCGUCGACGGGUAGCCGGCCUGAGAGGGUGUACGGCCACAUUGGGACUGAGAGACGGCCCAGACUCCUACGGGAGGCAGCAGUGGGGAAGAUUGCACAAUGGGCGCAAGCCUGAUGCAGCGACGCCGCGUGGGGGAUGACGGCCUUCGGGUUGUAAACUCCUUUCGCUAGGGACGAAGCGUUUUGUGACGGUACCUGGAGAAGAAGCACCGGCUAACUACGUG
rnacentral:rRNA from 1 species